CGGCCGUGUCUCUUUUGGAAGGCUGCGUCCUCCGGAGGUCGCAUUUGUCGGCCGCAUACGUCAUCGAGACUGUCUCGUUUCAUUUUUUUUCUUUUCAUUUUUUUUUUUUUUUAUUAUUAUUUUUUUUUAUUGGGAAUGCAAAAAGAGUUAACAAUUUUAUAAAUGUAAGUGCAUAUACAUAAAAGUCAUUGACAAUAGAUAAAAAAGAAGAAAGAAAAUGAAACGAGACCUCCGGAGGACGCAGCCUUCCAAACGAGACACAGCCAACGUGUGAAAGGUCAUGGAUCCUCAAAAAGUCAUAUAGCCUCCCAAACAGCAGCCAAUGGUCUACAUUUGUGGAGAGUGUCACACAGAAAAUGAGAUCAAGGCAAGAGACCCCAUUAGAUGCAGAGAAUGUGGCUACAGAAUCAUGUACAAGAAAAGGACAAAAAGAUUGGUCGUAUUCGAUGCCCGAUGAGACUUAUCUGAAUGUUUUCCUUUUAUCUAAUUAGCUUUUUAUAUGUUUGAAAGUGUAAAUACAUGUAUACAGUUUGAAUAGGCAGUAAUGGGUCAAAUUGAGUAAAAUACAAUUUACUUUAAUUUUCUUGAGUAAAAUGUGUAUUUUUCUCACUGUUGUUUGAGUUGACACUUUUUCCACUUGAAAGUGACUCACUGAAGUAAAUAUCUGCUGAUACUCAUAAUUGAAAUGUAGUUUUGUUUGUUUUCAUUAAGUUAUAAACUGUUAUUUUGGUGGGAGAAACUAUGAUUCCAUUUUAUUAAAUGAAUAGGAAGAUAUGACAGGCUUGCAUGUAAAAACUGAUAAUAAAAAAUUCACCUAUGUAUUAGUCACUUUUCA